rnacentral:lncRNA from 1 species
AUUUCCUUGCUCACUUUUUGCUAUUGAAGUCAAUUCUUCAUUUUCCAUUUUAAAGAUUAUUAUAAUCAACAUGCAUUUUUUAUUUUAGAAUGCAUGUUGGUUUUAGAGUUCAUUUUAGAGUGUAUAUUCAUUAGACUGUUGGUAGAACUGCUGCUUUGCAAUAUUUUAGAUCAUAAAAUUAUGCUAUAAGAUUUGACUUGAAAUUUCAUUUCUUUAUUCUGUGUAUUCCUGUCUACAGUAGGCAGCUUCAUUAUUCAGUCUGGGCUCAGGUUCAUUAUGAAGAUAAUUAUUUUUUUUUCUGUGUCUAAACCUCUUCCUCCCACUUAUGGGUAAAAUUCUCAGUUUGUCUUUUUUGGGAUGAAAGGAGACCUUCCUUGUGUGGCUUGCACAGAAGUAAAUUGAUUAGAUUUGUUUUAAGGCCAUUUACUUUUAGUAUAGUCAGAACUUUAUAUUGGCACAAUACUCUGAACUGCAGAACUCAUCUAGAUAUAGGGAAACCAGUUGUCCCUAAUUCAUUUCACAAUAAGCAGACAAACACUUUCUGGAUGAGAGUUCAAAUAAAAAUAGGAUACUUGAGAGGUGUUUUUGGCUUGACCUAAAAACAAUUUUCAUGGGUCUUCACAUUUUCAGUAUACUUUAGUUUCUCUGACCCAUGAAGAAAAUAAAGUUAUAUGUAUUUUUUGAAAAGUGUAUCUCUGAAAAGUUAAAAUUAACAUGUAUUAAUUUUACAGAUUAAUGGGUUUCACUGUGACAUUUCCAAACAUGGAUGUGUUGUAUGUUGAUCAUAUCUACCUUUCCAUCUGCCCUCUCCUGCCCUCCCCUUCCUCCAACCCUCUUCCCAGCCCUCUUUCUAAUGGUUCCUCUUCUACUUUUAAGAUUACUAUAUUCUUCUACUGACAAAGUUGCUCCUUGGAUUUGAAGUUUAAGUAGUUUUUUAGUGUUAAUUUUUAUGAAAGUUAUACAUAUACACGACUAAGUCGGUGGUAUUGCAAAGUUUAUAGUGAAAAAUAGUGGUCUCUUCCUGAC